UGUUGUUGCAAUAGUAAUUCUGCUCAGUACGAGAGGAACCGCAGAUUCAGACAAUUGGCAUUUGCACUUGGCUGAAAAGCCAAUGGUGCGAAGCUACCAUCUGUUGGAUUAUGACUGAACGCCUCUAAGUCAGAAUCCUUGCUAGAACGCAACGAUAAUUACCUCCGGAGAAUCUUAGGCGAACAAGGAUAGAGAACGGGCUUGCCCGCUCUCCUGCGUCCCAAUGUACCAAGAGGGAAAACAACCCUCAAGGCACUAAAGUAUAUCAAAGUUUAAAAUUUCUGGAGAUAAAUCCUUUGCAGACGACUUAAAUAAAGAACGGGGUAUUGUACGUUGUAGAGUAGCCUUGUUGCUACGAUCUUCUGAGAUUAAGCCUUUGUCUACUGGUUC
rnacentral:rRNA from 1 species